AGUAACGGCGAGUGAAGCGGCAAGAGCUCAAAUUUGAAAUCUGGCCCCUCCGGGGUCCGAGUUGUAAUUUGUAGAGGAUGCUUCGGGUGCGGCCCCUGUCUAAGUGCCCUGGAAUGGGCCAUCGGAGAGGGUGAGAAUCCCGUCUGGGAUGGGGUGUUCCGUGCCCGUGUGAAGCUCCUUCGACGAGUCGAGUUGUUUGGGA
rnacentral:rRNA from 1 species